CUGGGCUCGAGCCUGCCUGGAGCCGCCGCCGGUGCAGAUCUUGGUGGUAGUAGCAAAUACUCCAGCGAGGCCCUGGAGGACUGAUGUGGAGAAGGGUUUCGUGUGAACAGCCGUUGCACACGAGUCAGUCGAUCCUAAGCCCUAGGAGAAAUCCGACGCCUACGGCGACGGGAAAAAUUUUUGAAAUCGACCCGUUGAUCGGGCGAAAGGGAAUCCGGUUCCUAUUCCGGAACCCGGCAGCGGAACCGCUGUUUGUCGGGCCCUCACAAGGGGUUCGUCAGGGUAACCUAAAAGGGCCCGGAGACGCCGUCGGGAGCCCCGGAAAGAGUUUUCUUUUCUGCAUGAGCGUUCGAGUUCCCUGGAAUCCUCUCGCAGGGAGAUAGGGUUUGGAACGCGAAGAGCACCGCAGUUGCGGCGGUGCCCGGGAAUUCCCGACGGACCUUGAAAAUCCGGGAGAGGGCCACGUGGAGGUGUCGCGCCGGCUCGUACCCAUAUCCGCAGCAGGUCUCCAAGGUGAAGAGCCUCUAGUCGAUAGAAUAAUGUAGGUAAGGGAAGUCGGCAAAUCGGAUCCGUAACUUCGGG
rnacentral:rRNA from 1 species